rnacentral:rRNA from 1 species
AGGACGAACGCUGGCGGCGUGCUUAACACAUGCAAGUCGAGCGGAAAGGCCCUUCGGGGUACUCGAGCGGCGAACGGGUGAGUAACGCGUGAGCAACCUGCCCUUAGCUCCGGGAUAGCUCCGGGAAACCGGAAUUAAUACCGGAUACGACCACGGCCGACAUCUGCUGUGGUGGAAAGGAUUCCGGCUAAGGAUGGGCUCGCGGCAUAUCAGCUAGUUGGUGGAGUAACGGCCCACCAAGGCGACGACGGGUA